GGCUAGUCAAUGACUUUGAAAGGAAUGAUUGCUCAUUCAUUCAGUCAGACUCAGAAACUGUUUCUUAGAAACAAAAAAUUAAACUUCACUUUCAAAGCAUUUUAGUAUAUAAACACAAAUUUUGUUUAUAUAGAUAAAAAUCUGGUAUAUAAAUUGUGUAUUUCCACCCAAAAUAUCUGCUGUAGAUGUUUGAUAUAUACUAAACCUAAGUUUUAUAUGGUGUCUUUUUUCUUUUCAUUUCCCAUACUUUCUCUCAAGAAAGAUUAUAUCUUAGAGUACAUUUUUGGAUAAUUUUAUUUAAAAAGAAUUAAAUUAAUAUCACAUUAGAACAGAUAUCACCACUCUUGCUUCUCUCUUGCCCUCUUGUCCUUUCCUUCUUGCUCCUGUUCUGUCCCCUCUGCCCCUCUUACCCUCUUGACUCCCCCUCACAAUGCCCUGAAUAAACUCUAUUCUAUACUGAAAAAAAAAAAGAACAGAUUUCACCAAACCCUUCCUACAUGCAAAUUGUAUCUAAAAUAUAGAGCGCACAGAGAGAGAGAGAGAGAGACAGACAGACAGACAGACAGAGACAGAGAGAGACAGAGAAAGAAAAGAAAGAUGCCUUCAAUUUGAAAGUAAAGAGGUUGGCCGUGGAAAGAUUGAAUGGAUGGGAAAUUGGGAAGAUGAAGAAAGAAAAAAGAAAGGGGAAUUGAAGUAAUUAUAUUUUAAUACAAAAAGAAUAAAAAUAAACCUACAGAGAGAAGGGGCAGAAAUAUUUUUAAGAGCCAAAAGAUUAGGAAUAUUUGCUAUGAGACAGUGUCUUCUGUGUAUGACAAACACACUGUGAAAUCUUAACUGUACAGCCACCUAAACAAAGACCUUCAUACUGACAAAACCAACUGGAAUUCCACAGCAGUGGGGAAAACUUGCAGGGCUCUACCCUGAGAUGAGAGCUAAAGGCAAUUAAUGGCUUCUGAGAGAAAAACAAGCUCUCUGAUAGAUUGUCCAAUCCCAAAUGGUCAGGCCAAAACAUGCGUGCAUGUGAGCAUUAGUCUAUGGAUACAGCAAGUUGUGUGUGUGUGUGUGUGUGUGUGUGUGUAAAACGUUAAUGAAUGAAGAAGAGGGCAUGACUUUGAGAGAAAUCAUGUAUGGGAGGAGAUAGAGGGGAGAGUGUGUGGUGGAAAUGAUGUAAAUACAGUAAUACUGUAUGAAAUUUUCAUAAAAUAAAAUACAUAUUUAAAACCAUUUAGAGUUUGACAGACCUGUGUACUGGUACCAUGAAUAAGGGGAAAUAUUAAAAAGUGUUCUUUUUUUUUUCUCUUCAGUGAAACUACAGCUCCUGUCAGUAGGAAAAGUUCAUAUGUAUUCCAACUGAAUAAAAUCCAAAAUGACUGAAUUCAUUUUAAAAUCUAUAUUUGACUUGGAAAACUGUAAUUGAAUGCUGCUCUGCAGCUGGGGAUAGGGAGGUGUGUGGGCUUGCCACAGCUGUGCAGCUCCUUGGGCUACUUCUACACAGACCAUUGGCUGGAGCUGCCUGAGGCUGGCUGGCUCAGAAAAUUACAGCCCAGGACUUGCUUUAACCCCAUUCUCUCUGAAAGUGCACUGGAUGUGGCUGCUUAAUCCAAUUUUCCUUGAAGUUAUUACAUAUGGCAUACCUAAGAGAAACCUCUCCUCUCCUCCUCAUUCAUUCAUAUUCGCUCUCUCUCUCUCUCUCAUACACACACACACACAGAGAGAGAGAGACAGAGAGAGAGACAGAGAGAGAGAGACAGAGAGAGAGACAGAGAGAGACAGAGAGAGAAAGGGAGAGAGAGAGAGACUUUUUCAAUCAUUCUGUCUGGAAACGAGUCAAAGAAAAUUGAGACAGAAUGCUAAGGAGCUGUUCUGCAAUUAAAAUAAGAUGUUUCUAGAAAACAGAAUACAUAGCAAAGGCUGUUUAAUGCAUAUCUUCUGUCUGAACCUUAAAGAACAGUUUGCCCAAGAUGGUUAAUAUCUGUUAUUACAUUAGCUACAAGGGUUCCCUGCUGUACAACCCACAUUAUCUACUUUUGGCCUAGCAAUUCCAAAAUGUAUGAAGAAGUAAGAAAAGCAGAUAUUGGCUAAGCUAGCAAGAUGGGAGAAAAUUCAGUCACAUGAAGAAAACAGGACAUGGUGGAAAGGGGAUGUGGCAGAUAUCAAAGGAAAUUGGGAGUCUGUUCCACUGUAAUUUUUAAAAGUAUUUUAAAUGUGGGAUGCAUUUACACAUUAUUUCUAGUCUUUCUUGCUUUUUUUUUCUUAUGAAUCAUUGUUCUGUAGUUAUUCGUGUGUUCAAAUAUUAUCAAAAUGCCCCUCUCACUACUCUUUGUUCUAUUAUUCUUAUGGUUUUAGAAACAGGAUGCCACAGGUUUCAUAAUUUAAUGCUUGGACAUAUAAAGUUAAUUGAAGCAAUACAAUGGUUCCCUGGAUUGUCACACUCGGUUUUGUAAUGGCCUUCAUUGUUUUGGCAUAAGAUGUGGAAUUGACUGUGGUAACCACUCAGUGCCACAAGUGUGUGCUGCUUUGGCAGAGACUCUGAAAUCCUAGCAUGCAUGUCGAGUGGCUCACAACCACCUGUGACUCCAGCUCUCCAAGAAUCUGAGAUUUUGGGCCCCCAUGGGCACCCACACUUCUAUGUACACACAUACUACACUCCAUAUGUAUAAUUCCAAAUCAUGGUUAUGGUGUGUAAACUACAUUAUCGGCAUUCAUGUUUGUGUCUAUUGCCAAUAUUUUCUGUUUAGUCUCUGUAUGCACCAUGGUUAGAAGUAUGAUGAGGUAAGAAGAUCAGGAGAGAGAAGCCCCUACCUUUCAUGGAUUUGGGGCCCAGGACAAGACAGUAGCCAUCACUCACUAGGUCAUGGGGAAAUGCCAUGAGACAAGAGUCAUAUGUAAGCCAGGACCAAGACUUCCACCAGAUAUAAAAAUUUGCAAAACACAUGAAACUCAAGAAGAACGAAUACCGAAGUGUGGACACUUUGACCCUUCUUAGAAUUAGGAACAAAACACCCAUGGAAGGAGUUACAGAGACAAAGUUUGGAGCUGAGAUAAAAAGAUGGACCACCUAGAGACUGCCAUACAUAGGGAUCCAUCCCAUAAUCAGCCUCCAAAUGCUGACACCAUUGCAUACACCAGCAAGAUUUUGCUGAAAGGACCCUGAUAUAGCUGUCUCUUGUGAGGUUAUGCUGGCAAACACAUAAGUGGAUGCUCACAGUCAGCUAUUGGAUGGAACACAGGGCUCCCAAUGGAGAAGCCAGAGAAAGUACUCAAGGAGCUAAAGGGGUCUGCAACCCUAUAGGAGGAACAACAAUAUGAACUAACCAGUACCCCCGGGGCUCGUGUCUCUAGCUGCAUAUGUUUCAGAAGAUGGCCUAGUUGGUCAUCAAUGGAAAGAGAGGCCCAUUGGUCUUGCAAACUUUAUAUGCCUCAGUAAGUUGGAACGCCAGGGCCAAGAAGUGGGUGUGGGUGAGUAGGGGAGUUUGGGGGGGGGGGUCUGGGGGACUUGUGGGAUAGCAUUUGAAAUGUAAAUGAAGAAAAUACCUAAUUAAAAAAAUAAAUU
rnacentral:lncRNA from 1 species